rnacentral:tRNA from 1 species
UAAGUUGAAGCCAAAUGUUUAGGCGCUUAGCUGUUAACUAAGUCCUAGUGGGAUAAAUACCCUCCAAUUUAG